rnacentral:rRNA from 1 species
GGUGACACUUAUUGAAGCCUUUGUGGCCCCGCAAGGGGUCUGCACCGCGACUCUAAACAAUGGAUGCAGUGCCUGGAGCGUCGUCUCCAGGUAUGCAAGUCAGCGCUCUUGCUGGCGACACCUUCGAAUUGCGGGGAUACCCUAAAGCCCACAUCUACUAACCUGGCGGGGAAACCUGGCUAGGGGCUCAUGUUAACAGCAUGGGGUACAGUAAAAAGGAUGUGGGAUCAGCCUCUAGGCUGAGUGGGCAAUCCGCAGCCAAGUCCCUAAAGCGGUCGUCUCUGGCGAGCAAAGGGAAAGGUUCACAGACUAAGUGGAGGUGGGCAGAGUUUCUGCUUAAGAUAUAGUCGGGCCCCCAGGGAAACCUGGGGGGUAAGUUACCACGUGUGGGGGAAGACUGACGGCUCGAAUUUUCUUUGAGGCUGUCAGCACCGCACAACCGUUCCGUAGGUGAACCUGCGGAAGGAUCAUUACCGAGUGUUGGGCCCUCGGGCCCCUUACUCCCACCCCAUGUGUACCUACCACUCUUCAGUUGCCUUGGUGGGUCCCUCCCUCGUACCGAGGAAGGGGUUCAGCCCGCCAGGGGGACUUUAUAAAACUCUUGAACUUGGGAUGUCUGAGAAAGCAAUCAAAUAAAUAAAAACUUUCAACAACGGAUCUCUUGGUUCUGGCAUCGAUGAAGAACGCAGCGAAAUGCGAUAAGUAAUGUGAAUUGCAGAAUUCAGUGAAUCAUCGAAUCUUUGAACGCACAUUGCGCCCUCUGGUAUUCCGGGGGGCAUGCCUGUUCGAGCGUCAUUUCAAACCCUCAAGCUCCGGCUUGGUAUUGGGCGCCGUCCGCCUGAGGACGUGCCUGAAACUCGUAGGCGGUCGCGCGCAGCUCCUCAGCGUAGUCAAAUUCUCGCUCCGGACGCCCUGUGUGCGGCCCUGCCUGGGAACCACUCAUCUCAAGG